AUUGAACGCUGGCGGCAUGCCUUACACAUGCAAGUCGAACGGUAACGGGCCUUCGGGUGCCGACGAGUGGCGAACGGGUGCGUAAUACAUCGGAACGUGCCCGAUCGUGGGGGAUAACGAGGCGAAAGCUUUGCUAAUACCGCAUACGAUCUACGGAUGAAAGCAGGGGACCGCAAGGCCUUGCGCGGACGGAGCGGCCGAUGGCAGAUUAGGUAGUUGGUGGGAUAAAAGCUUACCAAGCCGACGAUCUGUAGCUGGUCUGAGAGGAUGAUCAGCCACACUGGGGCUGAGACACGGCCCAGACUCCUACGGGAGGCAGCAGUGGGGAAUUUUGGACAAUGGGCGCAAGCCUGAUCCAGCCAUGCCGCGUGCAGGAUGAAGGCCUUCGGGUCGUAAACUGCUUUUGUACGGAACGAAAAGCCUUCUUCUAAUACAGGAGGGUCAUGACGGUACCGUAAGAAUAAGCACCGGCUAACUACGUG
rnacentral:rRNA from 1 species